GACGAACGCUGGCGGCGUGCCUAAUACAUGCAAGUUGAGCGCUGAAGGUUGGUACUUGUACCGACUGGAUGAGCAGCGAACGGGUGAGUAACGCGUGGGGAAUCUGCCUUUGGGCGGGGGACAACAUUUGGAAACGAAUGCUAAUACCGCAUAAAAACUUUAAACACAAGUUUUAAGUUUGAAAGAUGCAAUUGCAUCACUCAAAGAUGAUCCCGCGUUGUAUUAGCUAGUUGGUGAGGUAAAGGCUCACCAAGGCGAUGAUACAUAGCCGACCUGAGAGGGUGGUCGGCCACAUUGGGACUGAGACACGGCCCAAACUCCUACGGGAGGCAGCAGGAGGGAAUCUUCGGCAAUGGACGAAAGUCUGACCGAGCAACGCCGCGUGAGUGAAGAAGGUUUUCGGAUCGUAAAACUCUGUUGGUAGAGAAGAACGUUGGUGAGAGUGGAAAGCUCAUCAAGUGACGGUAACUACCCAGAAAGGGACGGCUAACUACGUG
rnacentral:rRNA from 1 species